GUGCCAGCCGCCGCGGUAAUACGGGGGGUGCAAGCGUUACUCGGAAUCACUGGGCGUAAAGGGAGCGUAGGCGUCUUGUUAAGUCUUGAGUGAAAGCCCGCAGCUCAACUGCGGAACUGCUUGGGAAACUGACAAGAUUGAGUAUGGAAGAGGUAGGUGGAAUUUCCAGUGUAGGGGUAAAAUCCGUAGAUAUUGGAAGGAAUACCAGAAGCGAAGGCGACCUACUGGGACAUUACUGACGCUGAGGCUCGAAAGCGUGGGGAGCAAACAGGAUUAGAUACCCCCGUAGUCC
rnacentral:rRNA from 1 species